CAAGGCCAGAGACUGGCUGCUGCUCCUCGGUGGUCCCAACUCUGGCCAGGACUCGGUCCCUUUUCAUCCGGGGCUCCCUGAGCUCCGGGACAGCUCGGGCUAAGGACUAAGAACGGCCCUCCCGCGGCAUACCUGCUCCUCCGACUCCACCCGCAGUGACCUUGGGAAGCCUUAUUUCUUUCAUGGCAAACAUCUGAUGACUGCUUUCCUGCUUAAUCAGAAGAGCUCUGCCGAAGGAGCCCUCCCCGAUCACUCUCAGGACUCUGUAGUCAUCCAUGCUGGGGCAUCCACGCAGUGACUCUGGUCAGGAAGUCACCAUGGGCUAUCCCAAACUACAUUCAAAAAGAGAAAUAUGUGAGAACCCAAUUUACUUUCAAAAGUAUUAGGAACAGGCCAACUCUUACCAGUGGAGAAGGCACCAACGUGAGUCUGCAUAACAAACCAUACUGUAAGCCUUAUUGUCUGUCAGUUUCCCCCAUGUAUUUACCUUCCUUCAAUUUGCCCUAAAAGUCCAACUUCCCCCUUUCUUUGAUCUAAUUAUUUCACAAUUUAUCAUUCUUUGUUAAAAUGGCAUAUAGACCCCUGAUCUGAUCACUUAUUUACAUCUAUGCAAAUACAAUAAAUGUUUCCUCCUGUUAAUCAUACUUUUGUCAGUUUACUCUAAAGGGUCCCAGGUUCUAAAUCUAAAGGGGGUAGAAAAAAAUAAAUUUUUUCUUCCCCUACACUAUUCAUUCAACAAGUCUCCACUGAGCACCAACUCUUGAGUCAGA